AAACACAAUAACAAUAAAUAUAUCCACUAUCUUUCAUCUCAUGUAGCUUCACUUCUUCUUCACAAUCUCAUAUCUAAUCUCUCCCUAUUGCUUUUCUAUAAUCGAUCACCUUAUAGUUGAUAAUAGUAGAGGUUCUAAGUUUUGGAGGUGUAGAAAGUAUUAAGAUGCCAAGUGAUUAUUUCGACCCAUGGUUGUCGGUUGGUAUUAUAUCAACUGUGAUUUCCUUGAUUAAACAUGCGUUAAGGGAAUAGGAAUAUCCUGAAAACACAUUAUAUAAAGAGAAGAUGAUUCAUGAAUUAUCAUCAUAAACAAUAUUCAUCUUACUCAUACUUCAAAACCAAAAACGGUCCUUUCCUCAUCCUCAUUCAGUGCACACUCAAAGAAUCAACUAUCCGAUUUCUUUCUUCCACUCUAAUGGCAGGAGUUGAUUUUAAGACUUUGGAGGGAGUUACGAUAGGAUGUGGCAUUGUUAUAGUAUUUUUGUUUUGGAAGCUUCGUCAACAUCGACAAGCCUCUGCUCGGAUAAUCCGAGAGAGACUUACCGAGUCAAUUUGACUCAAAUGUGCCACUUCAACACGUUGAAGCUCGGUGCACAAUUUGUGUCUACGAGUUUGAGAAUGGACAAACAAUUUAUAGUUUGUCGUGCGGGCAUGCAUAACUGUCCAUAAGUGUCCGAAUUGUAAGGCAGCAAUUUGAGAUAUUUUACCAUUAUUAAUAAACAUUUGUGGCAGAAAGAUUAUAAUACGCACCAGUAUAUUUUAAUGUUUUUAUUAUUUAUAUUAUUUUUCAUUGUGUAUUAGGCCCAUUAGAAAUAUUUAUAAUAAAGUGUUUAGUGUUUGGUAUAAUAUUUAUGUUCUCUCUCUUAUUCUCACGUGCAGCUCAUUCAAAGGUGCUCUGAGCAAUGAUGGCUCACCUGAACUUCUUCAUUAUGGAAUAAAAUUCAAUUUGUAUAU